CAAACUUACAAUUAGAUUUUUCAGAUUACUGAGUGAAGAAGUAAAACACAUAAAUCCAACAAUAAAUUAGUUCUCCUCCUGCGCAACUCGUAUCUAAUCUAAAACAGAUGGGCAUUUCUUAAUGCUUAUCUGCAUUAGUCAGAAUUGUGAGAUUCAAAUUUGUUUGUUUUCAUUCUUUUUUUUUUUAAGUGGCAUUAAUCUUCUUCCAUACAAAUGCAACUUCAAUGCUUCUAGAUCUAUUCAGAAGUCGCUUGUUUUAUGUUUACUGAUAUUAGCAAAUGAAUUCAAAUAAAAAUACUGGAAAAAAAUAUGUUAGUGUAGAUUUAGUUGUUUUUUUUUUAAAUAAACUGCUUGACAAUAUCUUUAAGAGUAUUAAAUUGUAACCAGAUUAAAUGCUAGAGAAAUUCAAAGGACUUUUUUUUAUGUUUGUUUUGAUAAUGCGUGUUUUAGUAACACGUACCAAAAUAUUUCUCCAGAAAUAUUUUUAAAAUGGUCAAAAUGUUAUUUAGGAAGUCUGAAUGAAUCUGAGGGGAAUAGUAACGAUUAAACUCAUAAAUUUACUAGUUUUAUUUUACGACUUGAUUUAAACGCACCACGGACGUUGAACGAAGUAGUAAAUCACAGUAUAGAAGCGCAAACAGAUCCAGGCACAACACCUGCAACUGGUUAAGCGUGGUCGCUGAAGAGUAAAAAAAAAAAAAAAACCUAACCCGUUUAAUGUGCUGCUGAUCGGAGCUUUGAUUCAGUUAAUUACCUAUGAGAUACGUCAUCUAACUUCCGGUAACUUGUCGGACAAGUGGUGUUGAAGAUUACGUUGGACUUUUACGUUCCCUCCGUAAUGACGCUGCCACAGAGACCUGGGUUUCCAUAAACAGAACAUUGUUAUAACUAUCAGCGACAGUACCGUCAAAGAGGAUAAACGAGGUGCGCUGCAGCCCAGACACACCUAACAGUGGUGAGAUUUUCCCUGAGAUGAUGAAAGCUCUGGAGUAGAGAGGAUGUAGCAGCCGACAGGGCUCCCUGGAGUCACGCUGCGGACGGGACGACCCCUGUGGACCGGCAGAUCAGGGCAGUGGUCCAAGUUUCCAAAGAAUAGGGGACCGGACUGGCUUUCAACUAAUCCUCUGAAGAGUAAAAGGGAAAAAUAUAUAUUUGGUCAAGUCAAUGUGAUUGACAUAAAAAGUAAAAAUUAUAUUUUCUAAGUUAAAAACUUCCUAGACCA